rnacentral:tRNA from 1 species
UCCCUGGUGGUCCAGUGGUUAAGACUCUGCACUUCCACUGCAGGGGUGGCGCACUUCCAGGCAUGGGUUUGAUUCCUGGUUGGGGAA